CAGCCGUAAACAAUGUGCGUUAGGUGUGUCGGUAACCACGCGUUACUGAUGCGCCGAAGAGAAAUCGUGAAACGCACCACCUGGGAAGUACGGUCGCAAGGCUGAAACUUAAAGGAAUUGGCGGGGGGAGCACCACAACAGGUGGAGCCUGCGGUUUAAUUGGAUUCAACGCCGGAAAUCUCACCGGAUAGGACAGACAUAUGAUAGUCGGGCUGAAGACUCUACUUGAUGAUCUGAGAGGAGGUGCAUGGCGUCAGUGACU
rnacentral:rRNA from 1 species